rnacentral:rRNA from 1 species
GGGUACGAGAGGGCCGCUACCACGCGAGUGGAUGCCAAUCCCCAAAACCUCUCUCAGUUCGGACUGGAGUCUGCAACCCGACUCCACGAAGCUGGAUUCGCUAGUAAUCGCGCAUCAGCCACGGCGCGGUGAAUACGUUCCCGGGCCUUGUACACACCGCCCGUCAAGCCAUGGGAGCCGGGGGUACCUGAAGUGCGUAACCGCGAGGAGCGCCCUAGGGUAAAACUGGUGACUGGGGCUAAGUCGUAACAAGGUAGC